AAGGAUCAUUAGUGAUUUGGCCUCUGGCCUUAAUCUAUUCCAAACCUCUGUGAACCGUGGCCUCCGGGCCGUAAUUUUUAAACAUCAGUGUAAAGAAUGUAAAUCAUUAGAAAAACAAAACAAAACUUUCAACAACGGAUCUCUUGGCUCUCGCAUCGAUGAAGAACGCAGCGAAAUGCGAUAAGUAAUGUGAAUUGCAGAAUUCAGUGAAUCAUCGAACCUUUGAACGCACCUUGCGCCUUUUGGUAUUCCGAAAGGCAUGCCUGUUUGAGUGUCAUGAAACUAUCAACCUCCCGGUUUUCCCGGGAGGCUUGGAUUUGGGCGUCUGCCGUUUGGCUCGCCUCAAAAGCGUUAGUGGACUAGGCCUUCGCCUGACGUAAUAAGUUUCGUCUUGUGAUGUGUUGAUGUUUGCUCACAACCCCUAUAUUUUGUGCUCUGACCUCAAAUCAGGUAGGACUACCCGCUGAACUUAA
rnacentral:rRNA from 1 species